rfam:Biomphalaria glabrata isolate BB02 unplaced genomic scaffold LGTN_random_Scaffold43, whole genome shotgun sequence.
GUUUUCUGUGAUGAAUAUAUUGCCGCCCCAGUCUGAGUUUUUAAAUUGACUGAUUGGUUUUAUUCUGAGAAUA